UCUCACAUCAAAAAAUAGUUAAUUAUCUGAUUUUUAUGGCAUAUUCAAAUAUGAUUUGAAAUUGGAUAUCUUAUAGAUAAUGUUUGACAUUAUCUAGAACCCUUGCCACCCAUUUGCUUUUUAUUCUUUCUUUUGUGCGACAAAACAAGAUUUUUGUGGCAUAGAAAUCAUAUGGUAAACUAGUUUUAUCAUAAAAAAA
rnacentral:lncRNA from 1 species